UGGUGGGGGGGGAGGCGGGAGGCUGGGGUGGGGGCUGGAUGUGGAGUCCUCCGAGGUCAGGAGGCUGGGCUCCUCCUGUUUGUCCAUAUGCAUUUCUGGCCCCUUCCCCUCCAGCCCUGAGGGAAGCCAUCCCGCAGAGAGGCAGUUCCAGGUGCAGGUGGGCCACCUCCUCGCCCUGCACGUCCUGUCCCCGGGCUGCUGCUCUGCAUGCUGCUGCUGGGGGCUGCCCUCUCCCUGGCCCACCCUGCCGAGGGGCUCGCUGCCAGGCUCUGGGGAGGCAGGAUCUGGUGCCACAGCUGCCGGGCGUCAAGGGCAGCGGGCUGUCCUGGUAAGCAAGGGCUGACAAAGGGCCUUGCAGCAGCAGCACCAGAGGUUGGUGAGGACGAGGUCGGGACCAGAAUGAACGCUCCUCAUGCAUUCAUUUAUCAGAGUCACUGAGUCCCCUUGGCCUGCCCCAGGGCCAGCGCUGGUUGCUGGGGACAGAGAUGUGGACCAGCCCACCUGGGUCCCCUGCCUCCAGGGGGGCAAGCGGGGUAACUAAGACAUGCAUGUGCAAAUCCACAAAAGUGUCACCUCCUCCGAGAAGCCCUCCCUGACCCCCUUCCCUCCUCCCUGACUGAGGUGGCUGUUGCCCCAGUGAAGAGGGAAUCAGACUGCCCAGGUUCAAGCUCUGGCUCCGCCUCUUGCUGGCCAUAGGCCCAGGCGAGUCACUCCACCACCGAGCCCCAGUUUCCUCGUCUGUAACAGAGGGGUAACAAGAUUACAUAUGUCGUAGACUUAUUGUGAGCGUUAAAGGAAAUCCACAGGAUGGCUCCUGGGAGGGAGGAAUACUUUCAGCAGCCACAGACCGGCUUUCAGGAGAGGCACAGUGAGCAGGAACGGCUGGCCCGCAUUCUGGAAGAAAAGGUGGAGCUGGAAACAGAAGCCCCCAGGCUCACCCAGUGGGCAGGGAGCAGAUGUGAAGGACUAGGCCACCCAAGUCACCAGGACACGAUAAAUAGCUGCCCCCUCGUAAAGAGUAUAAAGAGUACCAGGUGACCCGAGACCUCUGGGGUAGAAUUUCUGGCAGGAUUCUGCCUCUAUAAAUAGCCUCGAGACAGGGCGGGCCUGCCCUGUUCCCCAGAGAGGCAGGCGGGCAGGAGCUGCAGGGGCGGUGGUUGCCACGCUGGACAAAGGCCCAGGAGGCUGGGGAGCAGGGGGCGUGCUCGCUGCGGGCCCCUGGGGACAUCUGAUCCAGGCUGGGGCUGUGUCUGCAUCUGGGUGACCUCAGGGCCAAGUGGCUGUCCGUGAGAAUUCCCAGGUGGCUAGACGACAAGGGGCCCCUGCGCUUCCCUGGAGGGCUGGCCUGCGCCAUCGUUGGGGGCUCCCCCAGCCACUUGCCCUUCUCCUUCAGGAAUCUCAGGGCUUCCAGGGAUCCCUAACACAGCUCCUCCAGGUCCUGCAGGAUUCAGGUUAAAGGUCUUUGCUGAGAAGCCGCAGAGUGAACCUGAACUUUGCACCAUAUGGAGCGAGGAGGCUGCUGUUGGACUGUCUCCAGGGUCAUCAGAGAUGCCCGGGGUGACCACCUGGUCCAGGCAGGACCGCGGGGCCCAUCGAUAUUCAAGGGGCCGCCUCACCCAGGAAGUUACACAUCCCCACAGUGGGACAGCCAGUGGUCAGCGACUGACCGACAAAGGAUACAAAAGAUCAGCUGCCAUGGCAAUUGUUCCAGGCUGAUGAUACUGUUCUGCAUCUUGACAGAAGGUCAGAGAGUGCGGCCUGGGGAAGUCCCAACCCCAUCAAAAUGACAACACCCUAAAUGAGUUCUAUGAAGGAGACUUAGCCAGCGGGGCUCAGACUGGACCCCGCCCUGGGGUGUUUAUUCAGCUAAAAAUAUGAAUUGGGCUCACAUAGCGCCUGCCUGGUUCACUUUGGGAGUGGCGUCCACCUGCAGCCUGACACUUCCCAGACCAGAGCCAGUGUCUGCACUCACCUGAGCUCGGUGGCCAGGCCAGCUGGGCAGAGCCACGCUCACCUGUACAUGUCGGGGGAAGAAGCAGCUGAUCUCAAGGCUGAUGUUCUGAAAGGAGAGGUGGUCUUGCAAGAAGAUGUGGAAGAAGUUGGUAGAUAGGAUUUGGGGGCAGAUGUCGUUCUCACCGUAGGAUGGGGACACGGUGGUGGUGGUCGCUGCCUUGUUCUCGGGCACGUUGUCUGUCAGCCCACUGUCCAUAGAGUGUGGGAGUAAGGAACCAGCCCAGGGAAAUUGGAGAUGGGCUUGUGUGCUCUGAAGGCCCUUGGAAGCCCUGGAUUGCUGCCCGCGGGCGUCACUAAGGGACAUCAAUAAGACACAUCAAUGACGUUGGAGGCAGACUGGGAUGCCAGGGUGAUUUUCCAGCUGGACACCCUGGUGAGGGAGGCGGCCAUCUCACUAGAGAGAGCGGCUUGUGAGUGUUGGCUGGGCCGUGUCGUUCAGGAUGUCUCUAAGGACCACACUGAUUUAAAGGAAGGGCGGGGUUCCCCAAAGCUUGUCCUCCGAGCAAAUCUCCCAAGGUCCACAAGGAUCCUAAAAAGAGAGCCUGGGGAGAGACGGGCCCAAAUGCUGCUCAGGGUUUCCAUGACGACUCACUUUCCUUUUUCAAAAUAUUUUAAUUGUCGAAGCCAUAGAAUCAGGAGGGAAACUUUCAAAAACUGAGGGUAAAUCAGCAACGACGUUGCACCUUUGCCCCUGACUUUAAAGCUCAGCCUGGCCUCAAAGCUUUGUGUCUGGGGGCAAGUGCCCUGCCUCAGUUUCCCCUCCUGUAAAAUUGGGAUGACAGCGCCCACUACUCAGGACUCUCACGAGGGUCGAAGAUCGCACGUGACACAGGAGCUGCAGGCAUGGUCUGCUCUCAGCUUUCGGGGUACACAGAGGAGCUGAGUCCAUGCCUCCUCCGUUGCCUGCUUCCCCCCCACUCAGCAGCACCCCCACAGCCCUGCCACUAUCUGGUCCUCACCAUUAUCAGUGUUGGUUGAAUUGUCGAUGCAUCUUCUGUGGUCUCUUUGCUAGUCAGCUUCUCCAUCAACCAACGGUCUAGCUGCUCUUAUGUCUCACACAUUUUGGAAAACACAGCACCCACUUUGUUAUGUGUACUUAGCCAUGUGUCUUGGAUAUUAUUCUGGGCUAUUUCUUACUUAUUUUCCAAGGGCUUGUAGGGGGGACCUAAUCACACAUCGGGGCCCGCCUGUCGCCCCGUGGUCUCAGAAUCACGUCCAUGGCGUAUUGUAGACGGAGAAGGAAGGGUGAGGAACAGCAGGAGAGCAGACGUGGAUGCAUGUACAUGCUCAUGCUUGGGCAGAGUCUCCACAUGGAUGCGAAGGCUCAGGCCCCAGCAGGUGUCCCCGGGACAGCUGGCAGCUGGGGCGCGGGGAGGGUGACCUCUUAAACGUUGCAGCCCUCUUUGCACGUUUCUUUUAUUUCUUUAACUCUAAGCCUGUGCUGCUGUUUCAGUUGAGAGCUCCUAGCUCCGGCCUCACAGCCGCCCUCUCCAUGCCGCCUCCUCCUGCUGAAGGGCUGGAGGGAAAAUGCUUCCACGGAGCCCUGCCCGGCAGAGCCAGUCCCUCAACCUCUCUGUAAAAUGGGGGAGGUUGCAACAAUAGUACCCAUGUCAGAGGGCUAAAUGGUGGAGGGAUUAAAUGAGAAAAUGCGUGGAAAGUGUUUUUCACAUGGAGGGCACUCAGUCUACGCAAGCUAUUUUUAUCUGACCUUAAAUUCCCCUUCUGUGAACGGAGCAUUUUGAAGCUCGAUGCCUCCAUAGGGACAUUUGGAGACAGAAAAGCAGGAGUGGAAGAGAAAGCCGAGCGCAGCGGAGGGAUGCUACAUAAAGACGACGGUGACCGUGGACAGAGGUUUCCCUCCUGUGCCAGGCAUAUCUGUCACCCGGAGCUUCUCACCUAGUUUUGCAAUAACCACAUGGGGUGUGGUGUCACGUCCACUUCACAGGUGAGGAAUCAAGCAUCUUGCCCAAGACCUGACAGGUAACAAGUGGCAGAGGUAGAACGCCCUGAGGCUGGCAACUUCCUUGCGCUACCAUAGAAAGAGGGUCCCUAUUUAUUUCCCCUGGAUGUCCCCAAACAAAGGCGUGACAUUCCAAGAGAGCCACUCCCCUCUUCUGGCCAAGAGCCAUGGCUGUGAACCACUGAGGAGUGGAAGGGAGUCCCUGGCACCAUCCUUUGCCCCCUCACAUGCCCACCUCUCCCUCCCCACCCCAUCCAGCAGGCCCCGGCCUUGCCCUGGGUCAGGCUCCUCCUCUUGCUGAGGGUCUCCCUGCUCAGAGCAUCGUGCCUGCCUCCCCAUCA
ensembl:lncRNA